GGGACACCAACAUUCAUACUCUACAUUAGUUAGCUUAUAAGAAAAGACACCUCUACGAAUCUACACCUCUACAAAAAAAUGGAACUCUAAAAGUAAAUGGAAAGAGUUGAAGAAGACAUUAGGUAUAGAAAAGCACCUCUUCAAUCACGUCUCACCUCCAAAAUUAGGCUGAGAAUAAAUGAAAUUGAUGACACCGAAUGUAACCUAGUAGAUAAGAAUAUAUGCAGUCUUUCGAAGAACGAUAUAAUAGAGGUACAACGUGGCCUAUAUACUGCAAUCAUCAAGGUCCACACUUGCUAUAUAACACUGCUAUAUAGCAAAGUUAUAUAACAUGUUACAUAUUUUUUUAGUCAUAUUUAGCAAAUUUCGCUGCUAUAAAACUUGCUAGAUGAUAUCCAUUUGUAGUCGGUAAAGAUCAAAAGAUGUUGCUCAACACUGCUAUUGUAACAUGAAACAAUGCGUCCAGACUUGCUAAAAAAAAUUUCUAGUUUAGCCUCUCAUAUUUUCAGUGAAGUGCGCGAUAGAAUCUUAGUAUGGUGAGCUAAUAUUGGGUUUGUUUAUUUACUGGUCAAUAAUACCAAUCGAUCGAAAAAAAAACUGCGUCCAGUCUGCUUCCCGUCCAGUUGGCUUAGACAUGACGAUCGAUGACAUUCCCACUAUAAUUUUUCAUAUAAAAUGACAGCGAUCUUCAUUUCAUACCCAUCGCUGACGCCAUUUUUUUUCGAUCGAAUAGUUCUUAUACAGGCCCUAUUUUACCAUAAGGCCCAUCAGGCCGGGGCCUUGGGCCCGGUGAUCUGGGAGGCCCGUUAAAGGUUGUAAAAUGUUCAUAAUUUCAAAUGUAAAUUUACAUAGCAGAGAAAAAAACAGUUACAUCUGAUAAGGAAAACAGAAUUAAAUAAAAUACGCUUUAGAUUAAUAUAAUUUUUG